rnacentral:piRNA from 1 species
UUAUUCCUUCGAUAAAAAAAU